rnacentral:lncRNA from 1 species
AUGGUGUGUUUCGUACAGAACUCCAAUAAAUUCUUCUCAAUUCUUCUCCCCUGUUCUUUUCGAGCAGCGAUACGCUUACGGCACGCACCACGCCGCCGGCUAUUUAUAUCCCACCUCCGAAAACUUGUGCGCGUUCCCCCGUUUUUUCCACCAUUUCCACGAUUUUCCUUCGGCGUCCCGGGCCGUGCAUUCCUGCCCAGCCCCAGCUGCCCCCUGCACUCGGAGGGCUCCAGCGCUGCCGGCCCAGCCCGGGGCACGGCCGGGCAGGGCCACCCCGAGCUCCCCGGGGGCAAGGAGCCCCCGCCCGCUGCGCGCUCCCCGAGGGAUGCUGCGGAGCCAAGGCUGCAGCAGAGGGGCUCUCGGAGGUGUUUUAUUUUCUUUUUUGUCGUUGCUUUUUCCUUCCCCUUCUUUCUCCCAACCUGGCCAACUUUUUUUUUUUUUUUUACUUUACUUUUUUUUUUUCUUCUUCUUCUGUACUUUUUUUUUUUUUUUUUCCCCUCGCAAAAGCCACGCCGUGGAAAGCCGGGGUGGCGGCGGUGGUGGUGCUGGUGGUGGUGGAGGAGGGAGAAACCCCUCCCCUUCCCCUCCCCCGUGGCUCCUUCCUCGGAAAAGCAGCACUUGGGGGGUUUCCUCCCCUUCCCCUCCGCGCCGCUCCCCGCGGCCGAGGAGGGCCCGGCGGGCUGCCGCCGGCCCGGGCCAGCCCCGGGAAGCCCCGGUAAGAGGGCGGGCAGCGGCCCCUCGCCCAUCUCGGGGGCCGGGGAGGCGAGGGGGGGCCGGGGGAGGGAUGCGCGGGGCGGCGGGGAGCGAGGCCGCCUCGGUUUCGCUUCGGGGCGGGGGAGCGGGGGCAGGGGCCGGGGCCGGGCCGGGCAGCGCCGCUGUCGCCCCGGCACUGAGCGCUCGCUCGCACCCGCGGCCCCUCCGGCAGCCCCGAGCGGAGCUCAGGAGGAGCCGAGGGCAAAUCGGGCUCCGCUGCCUCCGAGCCGGCUCGUCGGGGAGCGCGUGAUGGAUCCGCGCUGGAGGAAAGCUCCGCAAAAGCAGCGAAGCGCUGUGUCGGCACUCCCGGCGUUGGACUGCUUCCAGGCCUGACCUCCAGCUGCUCACCCCUAUGGAUGGCAAAUUGAGAGAGGCUGGACGCGAAGGAGGAAGGAUGGUCACGGCAGCGUCUUCCCAGGAUCCAUGGGCUCUUUGAGAGAUGAUCAGAGGGAGGCCAGAUGAUCUGCACAACACGCACGCCACUGUUUCUCAUCCGCAAAGGCAGCAUCGGAGCGUCCUCCCCAGCCCCGCGCCGCCCGGCUUGCCCGAUCGCUUCCGGAUGUUUCGCAGCUGCGAGUGGGAGGUCCUGGAGCGGUCCCUCAACAUCCUCCAGGCCAGCGACUUCUACUGGGGUCCCCUGUCCGUGGGGGAGGCCCACGCCAAGCUCCAGCGGGAGCCCGUCGGCACCUACUUGGUGCGGGACAGCUCGCAGGGCAACUGCUUGUUCAGCCUGAGCGUGCGGAUGCCCACGGGGCCCGUCAGCCUCCGCAUCUCUUUCCAGGAGGGUUAUUUCCGCCUGAAGAACUGGUUUUCGGACUGCGUGGUCCGGCUGCUGGAGCUGGUGGUGGCGGGGACCCGCAACAACCCCUUGCACUUUGAUGAGAUGGGGGGAACCCCCCUGGUCUUCUCGGAGCCCCUGUGCCGGAGCCGCCGAGCGGUGCCCACGCUUCGAGAACUGUGCCGCCGGCGCCUGCCUGCUGGCGCUGCUGCCGCGGGGGACACCACAGGGACGUGCCCGCAGGAGGUGGUGGCGUCACCCCCGGGCAGGAGACGGGGGUCAGAGCAAAGUGUUGGCUCCAGCCCCUCCGCAGCCGGGGCUGGGAGAUGAUGGCGGGCAUGUGGGAGGUGAAGGGACGCGCCUGCCGCCUGGCUGUGCCGGCGGGGCCGGGGUAGCUGCUCGGAGAGGCAGGGGAGGGCAGGUGCCCCAACCCAUUGGCCAUGAGAGCUGUGUCCUUGGGGGUGCACAGCACGUGUGGCCUUCCCUGCAAUGGCUGGGGUAAAGCCAGAGUGGGGGAGCAGUGGCUUCCACCCCCUGGGCCCUGCUCUUUGCUCCAGUCAUGCCUUAUAAGCUUGAGAGCGGGGCGAGCUGCCUGUCCCCCCAGGUCAGCCCCGCUGCCCCAAAGUGCCUGAGCUAGUCUGUGCUAAGUAUGUGCCCUCGUGCAGCGAUACGGCUGGCACCGGUCCCACAGCGCUGCGGCCUGGGCACGGCCCCGUGCUGCCCGGAGAGCCACAAGGGCAGGAGCGCGCCCUGCUCCUCGCCGCACAAACAGACGUCAGCACUUGCACCCGGGGAGAACUGCUGCAGCUCUUAUAGUACGUGCAGCUUCGCUGCCUUUUGCCUCGCUUUAUUUGAACAGGUUUUUGGGAGUGCAGAUGGGUUUAUACUACGGGCAGUGCGUUCCAGCGGAGGCAGUCCCGGUCCAGAGGGCCUGGGCUGCUCUGCGAGGGUGAGAACAGAUCAAUCCUGUGCCCUUCCUUACGCUCAUCUGAUAGUAUGCUGCUGCCAUCUAUGGACUGUACAAAGAUGUUUUGGUUUUGUCUCAAAAAAAAUGGCAAAGAAUUUUUAUACAACUUUUUAAAUGUUAAUAAACAUGUUUUUGUACUUCUUUUUAAAAGCUAA